rnacentral:rRNA from 1 species
UACGGGGGGGGCAAGCGUUGUUCGGAAUUACUGGGCGUAAAGGGCUCGUAGGCGGCCAACUAAGUCACACGUGGAAUCCCUCGGCUCAACCGGGGAACUGCGUGUGAGACUGGAUGGCUUGAGUUUGGGAGAGGAAUGCGGAAUUCCAGGUGUAGCGGUGAAAUGCGUAGAUAUCUGGAGGAACACCGGUGGCGAAGGCGGCAUUCUGGACCAACACUGACGCUGAGGAGCGAAAGCCAGGGGAGCAAACGGG